AAAGGUUUGGUCCCAGCCUUAAAAUCAAUUAUUACUAAACCUACACAUGCAAGUCUCCGCACCCCUGUGAGAAUGCCCCUUAAACCCUCCUGGUCUAAAGGGGCGGGUAUCAGGCACACUCUGCCCAAGACACCUAGCUAUGCCACACCCACAAGGGUCUUCAGCAGUGAUUAAUAUUGAAUAUAAGCAGCAGCUUGAUUCAGUUAAAGUAAAAAGGGCCGGCAAAUCUGGUGCCAGCAGCCGCGGUUACACCAGCGGCCCAAGUUGAUUUCUAUCGGCGUAAAGAGUGGUUAAACUCCCCCCCCCCCCAUAAUACUAGAGCUAAACACAGAUUGACCCGUCAAACAUCUAUCUUAAAGGAAGCACACAUACGAAAGUUGCUCUACUUAUUUCUAUUUGAACCCACGAAAGCCUGGACAUAAACUGGGAUUAGAUACCCCAUUAUACCUUGCUAUAAACCUUUAACUCACACCAUAAUCGCCAGGGAACUACGAGCAAAGCUUAAAACCCAAAGGACUUGACGGUGCCCCAUACCCCCCUAGAGGAGCCUGUCCUAUAACCGAUGAUCCCCGUUUAACCUCACCACUUCUAGCUUAUCAGCUUGUAUACUUCCGUCGCCAGCCUACCACGUGAGCGAAACUCAGUUAGCUUAAUUGGCCAAAUUACCACACCAAAGCCGCCAAUACGUCAGGUCAAAGUGCAGCAAAUGAAGUGGGAAGAGAUUGGCUACACUUUUUAGUAUAAAAAAUUUACGGAAAACAAUAAUGAAACUUUGUUAGAAGGUGGAUUUAGCAGUAAAAAGAAUUCAUAAAAUUCAUUUUAAGUUGGCACUGGAGCGUGUACACACCGCCCGUCACCCUCUUCGAUAAAAAUUAACUUAGUAUUUAACAACCUAUUAUUACCAGAGAAGAGGUAAGUCGUAACAUGGUAAGUAUACCGGAAGGUGUACUUGGAAA
rnacentral:ncRNA from 1 species